AUGAAUCGACGCUCGCGCCGCAGAGGCAAGCGCGGGCGCACGAGCCCGGACCCCCCAGCGAAGCGCCGCCGCGGCCCGCUGGAGUCGAUGCCCGGCGAGCUGGAGGCCGCUCCAGCUCCAGCGCCGUCCGUAGUGAUGGUCGCCGGGCUGCCGCCCGGGUGCGGGGUGAUAGAGCUAAAGUCGCGCCUGGAGGCGUACGGCCCCGUCGCGCGCACUCGCAUAGACGCAGCCGCGGCCACCGGGCACGUCUCCUUCCGCUCCGCUGCCGCUGCCACGGCCGCCAUUGCCGCUUCCCUCGACCCCGAGUGCGGCAUCACCAUCGGAUCCAAGAAGGUUUUAGUUGUACAGGCAAGUGAGGCGCCAAACAAUUCGACAAGCGUAGUUCAAUCAGACCCAGCGGAUGCGAGUAACAAUUUUGUGAGUGAUGCUUUGGCCAUCCCAAGCUCCAGAAUAGCUCCAGAAGCAAUCCACAAAGCGCGAGAAAUAGUCGCUUAUGAUGAUCUGUUCUGA
rnacentral:rRNA from 1 species